rnacentral:rRNA from 1 species
UACGUAGGGAGCAAGCGUUGUCCGGAAUCAUUGGGCGUAAAGCGCGCGUAGGCGGCCCUGUAAGUCCGUUGUGAAAGUCAAAGGCUCAACCUUUGAAAGCCGAUGGAUACUGCAGGGCUAGAGUCCGGAAGAGGCGAGUGGAAUUCCUGGUGUAGCGGUGGAAUGCGCAGAUAUCAGGAGGAACACCUGCGGCGAAGGCGGGUUGCUGGGCCGACACUGACGCUGAUGCGCGAAAGCCAGGGGAGCGAACGGG